rnacentral:rRNA from 1 species
UACGUAGGGUGCGAGCGUUAAUCGGAAUUACUGGGCGUAAAGGGUGCGUAGGCGGACAGGUAAGUCAGUGGUGAAAUCUCUGGGCUUAACCCAGAAACUGCCGUUGAUACUAUUUGUCUUGAAUAUCCUGGAGGUAGGCGGAAUAUGUCAUGUAGCGGUGAAAUGCUUAGAUAUGACAUAGAACACCGAUAGCGAAGGCAGCUUACUACAGGAUGAUUGACGCUGAGGCACGAAAGCGUGGGGAGCAAACAGG